CUCUAGCCCUGAUGGUAGCGGCAUCCUUUUUUGUCAUUGCGAUUGUACAAUGUUGAACAGAUUGCUUCACUAUGUUCGCAAUGACAAAAAAGAUAUAGCGGACAGCAGGUUCCCGG
rfam:Epilithonimonas sp. 36-9 SCNpilot_cont_300_bf_scaffold_243, whole genome shotgun sequence.